rnacentral:tRNA from 1 species
GGCGUAGCUCAAUGGCAGAGCAGCUGAUUUGUAAUCAGCAGGUUAUCGGUUCAAGUCCGAUCGCC